rnacentral:rRNA from 1 species
GGGGCGGGCCGCUGCGGCCGCGUUAGCGUGCCGCGGCGACCGCUCCAUCCUUGCGGGGAAGGCGCCGGCAUUCACUUGUCGGCGUCGGACCCGCAUCCUUUACUGUGAAAAAAUUAGAGUGUUUAAAGCAGGCGUUCCGCUUGAAUACAUUAGCAUGGAAUAAUGAGAUAGGACUUCGGUGCUAUUUUGUUGGUUGCGUACCGAGGUA